rnacentral:snoRNA from 14 species
AGCGGUGAAGAUAGAACAAAUUAUGUGACGGAAGCCGUCACAGUCGUCCUGACCAACUGUGACGAUAGCAAGUGCCGUCUGAGCU